rnacentral:rRNA from 1 species
AGAGUGAACGCUGGCGGUAGGCCUAACACAUGCAAGUCGAACGGCAGCACAGUAGGAGCUUGCUCUUACGGGUGGCGAGUGGCGGACGGGUGAGGAAUACAUCGGAAUCUACCUUUUGGUGGGGGAUAACGUAGGGAAACUUACGCUAAUACCGCAUACGCCCUUCGGGGGAAAGCCGGGGACCAGCAAUGGCCUGGCGCUGAUAGAUGAGCCGAUGUCGGAUUAGCUAGUUGGUGAGUAAUGGCUCACCAAGGCGACGACUCCGUAGCUGGUCUGAGAGGAUGAUCAGCCACACUGGAACUGAAGACACGGUCCAGACUCCGUACGGGAGCAGUCAGGUAGGGAAUUAGUGGAACUAAG